rnacentral:rRNA from 1 species
UACGAAGGGGGCUAGCGUUGUUCGGAUUUACUGGGCGUAAAGCGCACGUAGGCGGAUCGUUAAGUCGGGGGUGAAAUCCUGGAGCUCAACUCCAGAACUGCCUUCGAUACUGGCGAUCUUGAGUCCGGAAGAGGUGAGUGGAACUCCUAGUGUAGAGGUGGAAUUCGUAGAUAUUAGGAAGAACACCAGUGGCGAAGGCGGACUCACUGGUCCGGUACUGACGCUGAGGUG